ACGCUGGCGGCGUGCCUAAUACAUGCAAGUCGAGCGAACUGAUUAGAAGCUUGCUUCUAUGACGUUAGCGGCGGACGGGUGAGUAACACGUGGGCAACCUGCCUGUAAGACUGGGAUAACUCCGGGAAACCGGAGCUAAUACCGGAUAACAUUUUCUCUUGCAUAAGAGAAAAUUGAAAGAUGGUUUCGGCUAUCACUUACAGAUGGGCCCGCGGUGCAUUAGCUAGUUGGUGAGGUAACGGCUCACCAAGGCAACGAUGCAUAGCCGACCUGAGAGGGUGAUCGGCCACACUGGGACUGAGACACGGCCCAGACUCCUACGGGAGGCAGCAGUAGGGAAUCUUCCGCAAUGGACGAAAGUCUGACGGAGCAACGCCGCGUGAGUGAUGAAGGCUUUCGGGUCGUAAAACUCUGUUGUUAGGGAAGAACAAGUACAAGAGUAACUGCUUGUACCUUGACGGUACCUAACCAGAAAGCCACGGCUAACUACGUGCCAGCAGCCGCGGUAAUACGUAGGUGGCAAGCGUUAUCCGGAAUUAUUGGGCGUAAAGCGCGCGCAGGCGGUUUCUUAAGUCUGAUGUGAAAGCCCACGGCUCAACCGUGGAGGGUCAUUGGAAACUGGGGAACUUGAGUGCAGAAGAGAAAAGCGGAAUUCCACGUGUAGCGGUGAAAUGCGUAGAGAUGUGGAGGAACACCAGUGGCGAAGGCGGCUUUUUGUUAG
rnacentral:rRNA from 1 species